GGUGUUGCUUCUUAGUCCCGGUAAUGUUGCGAUUGUGAGGAUUCGUUCGACUGCGUCCGUUUGUCUUCUUCAUGGACUCGUUCUUCUUCCUAGCGGGAUUUCAGUUUGCAGGUGCCUAUGUUACCGAGCAGGUGACUCAACCAAGCUCAAGGAGGAGCUCGAUGAAGAUCUUGCCUUUUGUGUUGUUUCGUUCUAGUUGAUCAGUAGUGGAGCCCAGUUGGGGUCGAUCGGGGACCGUUGUCGCAUUUGGGGUUCUUCUUUUAUUUUGGUUCCGUAGUCGGACUUUGAUUGUAUCUGGAUGAUGUAAUGCUU
rnacentral:rRNA from 1 species